UCGAUGCUCAUGAUAUCAAUCACUGGAUUGUCUGGUCCAGACUCGAUUAUUUACAGACCGCCGUCCUAUAGCUUGAAUAUUGCUGAGUGCGGCGUUAAACAUCAAACAAAACAAAACAAAGUAUAAAUCAGAAUCAGUAUCUGUAUGUGUUUGAUUUUGUUGAUUUUCGGAUUUGCAAUCACAUUUAUAGUAACUUGAACUAAUGUAUCAACACAGUUUAGUCUUACCUGUUUAUAUCCAGGUUUUAUUAGUUCUACAUAAUCCCAGAUAUUACUUUCUUCAGUAUUAAGUUAGUGUGUUUAUUUGGUGAUCUUUGUCCUCAGUAUAUUAAAUGAAUUAAACAUUGACCUUCAUCAUGCAUAAUAAUGCAUGGGCGGAUACAGAGGGGGGGUGCGGGGGUGCGCAUCCCCUCUUUUUAUUUCGAAAAAAUCUUUAUUUCUGUAUAAAUUACCACCAAAGACAAUAAAUAGAUCUGAAUUGAGCACCCCCCCGUUUUCAAAAAAGCUGUAUCCGCCCAUGAUAAUGCAUUAUAUGUAAUCAUGUAUUCUCAUUUUCAUAUUUGUUAUUGAAGGAGGAAAAAAAAUAUAAUACACAAACUCAUUAUGCUCACUCAAAAUACUAUUGCUUGCAGUGUUGUCUACACCUUUGAGAGACAAAGCUGACUUGUAUUUUCAGUAUAUUUUGUCAAUAUUUAACAACAUAUAUAUAUUAGAAAUCGAGUAUAAUAUUAUUCAGAAUGAUUGCUGAAAAAAUCAGACAAUAUACUUUAAGUCUUGUGAAACAAAAUGUUGUAAGUCGAUAUGGUUUUCGUCACACAUGGGAGAUAACUCUUCUUGAUGGUGUUUGCUUUCUGCUACUUGGUAUUUCUACAGGGAAACGCUUCUUCAUAUCUAUGUUACGGAAUAUGAUCAUGCAUUGCAGUUAGUUCAGUACUAGUCAACAUUCUAGCCCACGUUAUUUGCUUUGAGGAAAGGGGAACAUUUGAUUGAUGUGGUUGGCUGUUCAAGGUUGUGUACCUGAGUAUACACAGCUCUUUACCUCCAAUGUUUACUUUAUUUACCAGUUUUACAGAGGAAAUAACCCUGUCUAAACCAGCACCUUCAUUAUCCAGCACUCACAAUUAACUGGGAUUAAGGAUUAUGUUUUGAGACUAACACCUUUCUUUCUUGUUGUACAGCCAUACACCUGUACCUAGUGAUGAGUACUGACCAGUGUUGAAAUAAAUAAAAUUAUCAGGCACCCAACAGGACCAACAGAGUUUAGAAACUGCAGGCCCCGACUAAACUCUUCAGGCCCUCAUUAAAAAAAUGCAUCUUUUUGUGACAAUAAAUCAACAUGUAAAUUAACUGGAGGCCAUAAGGACCCAUACAAAUUUGAAACCGCGGACCGACACAUGAUCUUCCUGCCACGGGUGUACGGACAAGUGAUUUUUCGAACACUGGCACUUUUUUGAAGGAGCAACUUGUGUCAUCACUGAUUUACAGUGAUCCAUUCGUAUAGUUUUCACCAGUAUUUUGCCUUUUGGACCCGGUGAGUGUCUGUUUCGAUGGGUGGACGGGCCUAGUUCUCUAGUGUUGAUGCUGUGUAUUAACAUAUAUCUUGUGUGUGUGUUGUAACUGAAUGGUGUCAUGGGGAUGUUGUAAGCACCUUCAUUGUUAAACUAGUAAGCAUGUGGCAAUUUGGACUGAAGUCUCUUCCAGGAAUACACUGAGAUGAGAUAGCCUGUAUAACAUAUCCAUUGUCUCUCUGUUUCAUGGUUAGGGACCAACGAUAUGUUUUUCACAACUCAAGUUAGCUCACCUGACUGAAAGUCAAGUGGUCUUUUGUCCUUGGAUGUUUGUCUUGCGUCCGUCCAGUGGACAUUGUCAUUAAAUGUCAUCAGGAACCUUCAAGUGGCACCUUUUUCUCAUUGCUUUUGCGAUUUGUGUGAAGGAGUAUUCAGGAUUCAGGAGUAAGCAAUGACACCCAGAGUGAAAACUUGGAUGGUUUAAGGAUUUCGAGGAGGGGGUUGGCACCCUGACAAAUAGUGCAUUCAAUUUUACAGAUUUAGAAACAUUAUGGAAGUGUAGUAACUUGUUGUUUUACUUUCAGGCAUCGAGAACGACCAGCGAACACUUUUUAGGGUGUUAGAAAUAGGCAGAAUUGUUUCCCAGUAUUUUCUGGAAGAAACGAGAUCCCAGUAUCACCCCAUCCUCCCUAACAGGAACCUCAGGUCUCCGCCGACUGUCUCCCCGAGGUCUUCCCCUCUGAAACAGUGAGGUCAUGAUACCCAUACAACAGUGAGGUCAUGAUACCCAUACAACAGUGAGGUCAUGAUACCCACACAACAGUGAGGUCAUGAUACCCACACAACAGUGAGGUCAUGAUAUCCAUACAACAGUGAGGUCAUGAUAUCCAUACAACAGUGAGGUCAUGAUACCCAUACAACAGUGAGGUCAUGAUACCCAUACAACAGUGAGGUCGUGAUAUCCAUACAACAGUGAGGUCAUGAUACCCAUACAACAGUGAGUUCAUGAUAUCCAUACAACAGUGAGGUCAUGAUACCCAUACAACAGUGAGGUCAUGAUACCCACACAACAGUGAGGUCAUGAUACCCACACAACAGUGAGGUCAUGAUACCCACACAACAGUGAGGUCAUGAUACCCACACAACAGUGAGGUCAUGAUACCCACACAACAGUGAGGUCAUGAUCCUCAUACAGCACGGUUUGGUCAGCAUAUGUGAACAGGAUGAUUUACUUAUGUACAGGAUGGUAAUGACUUCUAUAAUUUAUGAACGUUGUCUUGAUAAGUGUGACACGAAUAUGUCUUCGUCUUGUUAUAUAUAGAAUAUAGGACGAGUCGUCCGAUUGAAGUGUCCUUAACCUUGAGUAUUAUAGUGUAUAAUUCACAGGUCCACUGUUGAAAUCAGUCCCGAAGCUAUUGAUUCAUGUCAGAGUCGAGUUCCCCGUUUGAUCACAUUUGCAUCUAGUACUACUGUAAACACUAUAUUUUAAUGCGAGUGAAUUGCGUCCAAAACCUGAUUGAGAUCUCGUGAUGGUGCACUGUCGCGGUAGACAGGUAUUGCCAUCUUCGCGGUGACCAGUUUUCUGUCACUCGUUCGUCUGUCAGCUUCCCCAUUGCCUCCAUGUGUAUGGCAUUAAUACAAUGUAUUGUUGUGAUGUCAUAUUUGACUUUAUUGAAUAUCUGUGUGUUUUUAGUUUAAAGACAGACUCCGUACUCCGCAAAUGUGAAUCACAUUAUUGAAGUACUUUCCUUGACGUCUUGCUGUAUGAUAUACAUGUAGUUCAAACAAGAUUACCCUGUCAAUUAAGCAGAUACAAUGCCAGCGGUUUACACUACAACCUGAACAGUCCUGGUAGAAUGCUUAGCCAUAGAAUAGUUCUGUAUGGACACUCCAUCGGAUUAUAUAUUAGGCAGGAACUGAGUCAACGCGAUGCACACACACACACAGACAAAUUCUGUAAGGUUGAUAAUGUUGAUAAUUAUGUAGGCCAUUUUCUGUCAUGUAAUACCACGUGCAUUACAAUUGCUUUGCAUAUGUAAUUAUUAUAAACUUCAAGAAUAAACCGAAGACAAUUCUUCAAUGA